GAUGAACGCUGGCGGCGUGCCUAAUACAUGCAAGUAGAGCGCAGAAACGAGGAGCUUGCUCCUCUGAGGUUAGCGGCGGACGGGUGAGUAACACGUGGAUAAUCUACCUAUAAGACUGGGACAACUUCGGGAAACCAGAGCUAAUACCGCAUAAUAAAUUUAAACACAAGGUUCAAUAGUGAAAGAUGCUAUUGCUGCACCUUAAGAUUAGCUCCCGGUCUAUUUAGCAGGUUGGUAAGGUAACGCUUUACCAGGCCAAGGAAGCUAAGCCGACUGAGAGGGUGGAUCGGCCACACUGGAACGGAGCCACGGUCCAGACACCUACGGGGGGCACCGGUGGGGAAUCUUCCGCAAGGAAGGAAAGCCGAACGGGGCAACGCGGGGGAAGGAAUGAAGGUCUUCGGUUGGUAAAACUCUGUUGUAAGGGAGGAAGUAAGGGGUAGUUGACUGUGCACGAAGUGACGGUACCUAAUCAGAAAGCCACGGCUAACUACGUG
rnacentral:rRNA from 1 species